CGAAAUGUCAGAGCCUCUGAGGGGUCACAGCUCAGCCUCAGGACAUGGGAACGAGGCACAAAAUGAAAAGAAAUCCCCGGCUAUCCUCGGUGAGGAGAAAUAUUCCGCCAGGCUGAGGACAUUAAACCAGCCUAAAGAAGCCUCCCAGUACUGAGAUGGCCACUAAUGGAUCUUGAAGUUUGCCUGUGGAAGCCCCUGAUAUUCAAGUGUAUAAAUUGGAGUUUAUUUCAGUAAAUCACCACAGGACGUGAGGCAAAAAAAGCUGAGCAAGGCUGCAAAGUGCCCUGGGAAAUGGAGUUACUUGGAAUGGUCAGGAUGAAAUUUAGCUUCUGAGAGGAGUCAGGACUUGUCCUGUGGAAGCUGGAGUGAAAAGAAUGUAAGCAAGAGAGAAGCUGGCCUGCCCAAAUGCAAGUGCUCCUUGGCUGUGCAGGAUGGAGAUGCAUAACUUUUCCUGAGGAACUAGUGAUAAUCCAGGAUGCUGGCAGGCCAUCAAGCGCUGUUUCUACAAAGGCUUGUGCUGAUGCCACUGGAACUUUCAUAGCCAGCCUGCUUUUCCCCAUCCAAAGUGCAAGCAAGGCUGAAAAUGGAGAGCUAUUAAAAGCCCAAAAGUUCCAAAUCCAGGUGGAGAGUGGUGUGUCAGCUGCUGGGGAGGAAGGACGUUUGAGUGAAUGGGUAUUUGAGGUUCAUAUCCAGCCCUUUCAGAGCUGUAGAGAAAAGGGAAAUAAAUCCAGUGGAAACAAAUCAAGCAACAAUAUACAUCAAGAUAUCUCCUCUCAAUGUUUUUCAGCUGAAACCCUGCUCUAGGAUGGCUUAAAAAAAUUGAAAAUUGGAGAGUGGACAAAAGCAGCGCAUCCAUCCAUCCUUCCCAAAAUACAUCCAUAGGAGAUAUUUUUGUGCACUGCAGCUCUCAGAGCACACGUUUAGGGAGAAGUUUCCACGUCAGUUCCCCUCUGAGUCAGAAUCCAAGAUGGAAAGAUAUUCCCAAACACAGGAACAGCAUCUCUGCACGUAGCAGGACUUUUGUUUUUAUGGAAGACAUCUCUGAAGGCUUUUCAUCAAAACCAAUGUCCCCGUGCACAAAAGAUGUUGAAAAAUGUAUUUUUUGUCCAGUGAAUUCUUGUCUUUACUGUUUACAGGGUUUGUUAUUUAUAGUUUGGGGAGAAUAUAUAUUAAAUAAAUUAAAAUACUCUGGUUACA
rnacentral:lncRNA from 1 species